rnacentral:lncRNA from 10 species
GAGAAGGAAGAUUAAAAAAGAGGAAGAGAAAGAAAAGAAAACUACACUAGGUUCUCAUCUUAACCUGGGAGUCACCUCUGUCUUCCUGGCAUCCGCACAAUCAGUAGGACCCAGCAAUCUCCCGCAGGACAUUUUCUAAAGUAGAAAUGAAAAGGGGAAUGCUGGAAGCCCCGUCAUUUUCACCAAGAUCUGGAUGCUCACUCUAAGCAGUGGAUCAGAGGAUGCCAAUAUUUGAAGGCCCAGAGAGAAGGUCCUCCUAGAAAGCAGAAGGCUUUCCCCCACCUUCCACCAUGCCCACUGUCACGAGGAUUUGCUGGGGCAAGUGUUUACUCAUCUGGUAGGGGAAUCCACUCCUUUCUGCACAGGUGCAGAGCUUGCCAAAUGCCGCGGGGCUUCCCUCUUUGCUAAAAGGCCAGAAUUCCCUAAAUCUCACUCCAGGCUCCAACAUUAUAUCUAUCACUUUUCUUUUUUUUUUUUUCCAAUAUAGGGGAAAAGGGACCUUUCCUUUCACCCUCUGACAUUUGAUAAUUUGAGUCUAUGCAAUAAAUUUGACAGUAGACAGAUUAACAGGAAAAAAGGCAUACAAAUUAAUACAUGCAUAUACAAGGGGGUCCCACAGAGUAAAACACUCAAAGAAGGGCCAGAUGGUUGAAACUUUUUUUCUUCUUGAGAUGGAGUCUUGCUCUGUCACCCAGGCUGGGGUGCAGUGGCAUGAUCUCAGCUCACUGCAACCUUCAUCUCCCAGGUUCAAGCAAUACUCCUGCCUCAGCCUCCUGAGUAGCUGGGAUUACAGGUGCAGGCUACCACACACAGCUAAUUUUUGUAUUUUUAGUAGAGAUGGGGUUUCACUAUGUUGGCCAGGCUGGUCUUGAACACCUGACCUCAGGCGAUCCACCCUCCUCGGCCUCCCAAAGUGCUGGAAUUACAGACGUGAGCCACUGCACCCAGCCUGGUUGAAACUUAAAUCUGCAUUUGAACUACAGAAAGAAAUAGGGGCUGGGGCUUUUGGAAGGGAGGUGGUGACUCAAGCAAUGGAAGGGUAAGGGGUGACUCAAGCAAUGGAAGGGUAAGGGGAAGAACCACACUGUGAAAAACGGUUGUUUUGUGAUGCAGAUAAAGUCUCUAGGAUAGCAACCUUCAGAAGAAUAGGUAAAAAGUCCAUCUCGGUUUGGAGACUUUUAGUUUCUUUUCCUGCUGGUUAAUCUCUGGUUAAUGUGGAUUUCAGGGAGAGGGAUCCACACAAUUAUGUUCCUUCUGGAAGAACUUCCCUCCCUGCAUUUCAGGAGAUACAGAGAUGGAGAGACAGGGAGAUGAGGGAAGAUCAAAGAGACCUUGGUUCUGAAGCUGAUUUUUUCUUUUUUUUUUUUUGAGACGGAGUCUUGCUCUGUCGCCCAGGCUGGAGUGCAGUAGUGCGGUCUCGGCUCACUGAAACCUCCACCUCCUGGGUUCACGCCAUUCUCCUGCCUCAGCCUCCUGAGUAGCUGAACUACAGGCACCUGC